GGGUUGGGCUGUUCGCCCAUUAAAGCGGUACGCGAGCUGGGUUCAGAACGUCGUGAGACAGUUCGGUCCCUAUCCGUCGUGGGCGUAGGAAAUUUGAGAGGAGCUGUCCUUAGUACGAGAGGACCGGGAUGGACAUACCUCUGGUGUACCAGUUGUCGUGCCAACGGCAUAGCUGGGUAGCUAUGUGUGGACGGGAUAAGUGCUGAAAGCAUCUAAGCAUGAAGCCCCCCUCAAGAUGAGAUUUCCCAACUUCGGUUAUAAGAUCCCUCAAAGAUGAUGAGGUUAAUAGGUUCGAGGUGGAAGCAUGGUGACAUGUGGAGCUGACGAAUACUAAUCGAUCGAAGACUUAAUCAA
rnacentral:rRNA from 1 species